GAACGGAGCUGGUUUGGGGAAUGGAAGGGUUAUUUGGGGGCUAUUUGAUGCCUUUGUUUGGCAUUGCCCCUCUGGCAGAUGUUUGUCUGCCUGCUCCCAACACCUCCAGCCCAGGAACGUCCCCAGCUCCUCCUCUCCCGUGUCUGAUCAACCAUGAGCUCCUUUCUCCCCCGAAUCUUCCCUGUUUUUUUCAAAGCAGCCCUUCACACACAACACGAGCCUGCUAUCUUCUCCUCCUCCAGACUAAACAAUCCCUCCUUCGACCUUCCCUUGCUCUCACUUUUUUUUCCUCCUUUUUUAUCUCUCUGCUGCCUCCCCAGACGUGUUACGCAACCUACGGCUUCUUAGAGAGGCACGAUCCUAUUGCAUCCCCACCUGUGCCGCUCUUGGAACAAAACCUGGGCCCUGCACCUCCUCAUAAGGUCCAUCACAACACUGGGAAGGCAUCAGAAGGAAGGCGUUCACUGAAAGCACGAAGCCGGCAGCUGCCGUAUGCCCUUGGGAUGGGAAGCACCAGCUCCUACCACCCUCCCUCUCCACAAGGCUCCUCCUAGCACUGUGAGCACCCCAACACGCUG
ensembl:lncRNA